CCUACGGGUGGCUGCAGUGGGGAAUAUUGGACAAUGGGGGGAACCCUGAUCCAGCCAUGCCGCGUGUGUGAAGAAGGCCCUCGGGUUGUAAAGCACUUUCAGUGAGGAAGAACGCCUGGUGGUUAAUACCCAUCAGGAAAGACAUCACUCACAGAAGAAGCACCGGCUAACUCCGUGCCAGCAGCCGCGGUAAUACGGAGGGUGCGAGCGUUAAUCGGAAUUACUGGGCGUAAAGCGCGCGUAGGUGGCUUGAUAAGCCGGUUGUGAAAGCCCCGGGCUCAACCUGGGAACGGCAUCCGGAACUGUCAAGCUAGAGUGCAGGAGAGGAAGGUAGAAUUCCCGGUGUAGCGGUGAAAUGCGUAGAGGUCGGGAGGAAUACCAGUGGCGAAGGCGGCCUUCUGGACUGACACUGACACUGAGGUGCGAAAGCGUGGGUAGCAAACAGGAUUAGAUACCCUGGUAGUC
rnacentral:rRNA from 1 species